UGUGACCUCAAAUCAGGUAGGAUUACCCGCUGAACUUAAGCAUAUCAAUAAGCGGAGGAAAAGAAACUAACAAGGAUUCCCCUAGUAACUGCGAGUGAAGCGGGAAAAGCUCAAAUUUAAAAUCUGGCAGUCUUUGGCUGUCCGAGUUGUAAUCUAGAGAAGUGCUAUCUGCGCUGGACCGUGUACAAGUCUCCUGGAAUGGAGCGUCAUAGAGGGUGAGAAUCCCGUCUUUGACACGGACUGCCAGGGCUUUACGAUGUGCUCUCAAAGAGUCGAGUUGUUUGGGAAUGCAGCUCAAAAUGGGUGGUAAAUUCCAUCUAAAGCUAAAUAUUGGCGAGAGACCGAUAGCGAACAAGUACCGUGAGGGAAAGAUGAAAAGAACUUUGGAAAGAGAGUUAAACAGUACGUGAAAUUGCUGAAAGGGAAACGCUUGAAGUCAGUCGCGUUGUCCAGGGAUCAACCUUGCUUUUGCUUGGUGCACUUUCUGGUUGACGGGUCAGCAUCAAUUUUGACUAUUGGAAAAAGAUUAGGGGAAUGUGGCAUCUUCGGAUGUGUUAUAGCCCUUGGUUGCAUACAAUGGUUGGGAUUGAGGAACUCAGCACGCCGCAAGGCCGGG
rnacentral:rRNA from 1 species